rnacentral:misc_RNA from 1 species
GAUGAAGAACGCAGCGAAAUGCGAUAAGUAAUGCGAAUUGCAGAAUUCCAGUGAAUCAUCGAAUCUUUGAACGCACCUUGCGCCCUUUGGCCAUUCCGAAGGGCAUGCCUGUUUGAGUAUCAUGAACACCUCAACUCUUCAUGGUUUUCCAUGAUGAGCUUGGACUUUGGGGGUCUUGCUGGCCUGUGGGUCGGCUCCUCUCAAAUGAAUCAGCUUGCCGGUUUUUGGUGGGCAUCACAGGUGUGAUAACUAUCUACGCUUGUGGUUUUCCACCAGGGUAACCUUCAGCAGUGGAGGUUCACUGGAGCUUACAAAUGUCUCUCCUCUGUGAGGACAGCCCUUUGAAUGUUUGAUCUCAAAUCAGGUAGGACUACCCGCUGAACUUAAGCAUAUCAAUAAGCGGAGGA